rnacentral:misc_RNA from 1 species
GAUGAAGAACGUAGCGAAAUGCGAUACGUAAUGUGAAUUGCAGAAUUCCGUGAAUCAUCGAAUCUUUGAACGCACAUUGCGCCCCUUGGUAUCCCGAGGGGCAUGCCUGUUCGAGCGUCAUUUCACCACUCAAGCCUGGCUUGGUGUUGGGCGACGUCCUCUUUGGGGACGCGCCUCGAAACGCUCGGCGGCGUGGCACCGGCUUUAAGCGUAGCAGAAUCUUUCGCUUUGGAAGUCGGGGCCCCGUCUGCCGGAAGACCUGCUCGCAAGGUUGACCUCGGAUCAGGCAGGGAUACCCGCUGAACUUAAGCAUAUCAAUAAGCGGAGGA